GUGACACCGUUUAGAGCAUCAGAGUUUGUGUAUCCUCGCUACAGUGUCGAUUCUUGUGCCAAGCUUUGUCUUUGGUGCCAAGCAGCGCCUGCAGUGACUGUGGAAGUUUCAGUGGUGGAUACUAUUACCUAGGCAGCGCAUGAACAUCAAGAUGUCUGCGAUUCAUUACCAGCUAAGUGUUCCCUUUCUUCUACUAGCGUUGACAACCAAUCUGUGUGAAGCCCAAUUUACAAUGUCACUGACCUCCGAUUACCAGACGAAUGCCAACCAUACGCGUGAGCCGCAUAGACAUGCAACUGAUCCCUACACACUGCUAGAGAACUCCACAGCACCACUGCACAUCGCCAAUGUCUAUUGCCAGGUCCAGGCAUACGCGUUCUACUACAACAGGGCCGGCA